UCCCUGGAUAGCUGAGUUAGUGAAGUAUGGGACUCUUAAUGUCAAGGUCCUGGGUUCGAGUCCCAUGUUGGGCAA